UACGUAGGGGCGUAGCGUUGUCCGGAUUUAUUGGGCGUAAAGAGCGUGUAGGCGGCCAGGUAGGUCUGCUGUGAAAACUCGAGGCUCAACCUCGAGAUGUCGGCGGAAACCAUCUGACUAGAGUCCGGAAGAGGAGAGUGGAAUUCCUGGUGUAGCGGUGAAAUGCGCAGAUAUCAGGAAGAACACCCGUGGCUAAGGCGGCUCUCUAGUACGGUACUGACGCUGAGACGCGAAAGCGUGGGGAGCGAACAGG
rnacentral:rRNA from 1 species